UGCAACCGUGAAUUGUGCAACAGCCGCAUAAUCGUUUUGAAAAAAGUGAAUAAAACAUGGGACCCACAUGAAAAAAUUUAAUUUUUUAAUAGUGGAUCUCACUAUUUUUCAAAGCGAUUACGCGGCGUUUAUACACUUCAUGGUUGUAUCUAUGAUUACUCGACUGUUAUGACAAAGAAA